UACGUAGGUGGCAAGCGUUGUCCGGAUUUACUGGGCGUAAAGGGCGUGCAGGCGGUCUGUUAAGUUCAGGGUGAAAGCUCCCGGCUCAACUGGGAGAGGUCCUUGGAUACUGGCAGACUUGAGGGAGGUAGAGGAGAGUGGAAUUCCCGGUGUAGUGGUGAUAUGCGUAGAUAUCGAGAGGAACACCAGUGGCGAAGGCGAGUCUCUGGACAUUUCCUGACGCUGAGGCACGAAAGCCAGGGGAGCAAACGGG
rnacentral:rRNA from 1 species